rnacentral:lncRNA from 1 species
AGCAUAUAGAAUAAGUUGUGCUAAUGGACUACUGAAAUUCCAGUCUACUGAGCUGAUUAUUCCUAAGAGAGACACGUUGGAAAUCUGA